UGAUGUCUAAACCCUCAGUACCACAGAAUGUGAUCUUAAUUGGAAAUAUAGUCAUUGCAGAUGUAAUUAGUGAAGUUAAGAUAAGGUCAUACUGCAGUAAAGUUUGAGUUUAAUCCAAUUUGACUGAUGUCCUUACAGGAAGAAGGUGUGAUGACAUAGAUUCCCGGGGACAAUGCCAAGUGAUGACAGACACAGACACUGGAGUGAUACAGUACAAGCCCAGGAACACUAAGGAUCCAUGACCACCAUCAGAAGCCACAAAGAUGCAAGGAAGGAUUCUCCCCUACAUGUUUCAGCGGAAGCAUGUUUCUGUGGCCACAUUCAUUUCAGAGUUCUAGCUUCCACAAGUCUUUGAAGAAAACCACCCUUUUAUGCUUGACCAAAAAAGUAUUGCUUUUCUACAGAUUUGAACUCUAAACUCAAUUUCUGACUUCAAGGUAUGUACAAAUGAAUAAAUGUUAACGGUGACAGUUUUCAUUGGAUUAGAAACUGUCUUGUAUUGGUUUAGGCUUUCAUAACAAAAUA
rnacentral:lncRNA from 1 species